AUUGAACGCUGGCGGCAGGCCUAACACAUGCAAGUCGAGCGAGCAGCGGACGGGUAAGUAAUUCCUGGGAAUUUCCCAGUCGCGGGGGAUAACAGUUGGAAACGACUGCUAAUACCGCAUACGAUUGGAUUGCCCAGGUGGGAUUAGCUAGGUGGUGAGGUAAUGGCUCACCAAGGCGCCUAACACUAGCUGGUCUGAGAGGAUGAUCAGCCACCCUGGAACGGGUAUACGUUCCAGACGCCUACGGAAGGCAGAAGUGGGGAUUAUUGGACAAUGGGGGAAAGCCUGAUGCAGCCAUGCACAGUGUGUGAAGAAGUCCUUCGGGUUGUAAAGCACUUUCAGCGAGGAGGCGUUACUCGCAGAAGAAGCACCGGCUAACUCCGUGCCAGCAGCCGCGGUAAUAC
rnacentral:rRNA from 1 species